rnacentral:rRNA from 1 species
AGCUCGUAGUUGAAUCUUGGGCCUGGCUGGCCGGUCCGCCUCACCGCGUGUACUGGUCCGGCCGGGUCUUUCACUCUGCGGAACCACAUGCCCUUCAGUGGGUGUGGCGGGGAAGCAGGACUUUUACUUUGAAAAAAUUAGAGUGCUCUAAGCAGGCCAAUGCUCGAAUACAUUAGCAUGGAAUAAUAAAAUAGGACGCGCGGUUCUAUUUUGUUGGUUUCUAGGACCGCCGUAAUGAUGGAUAGGGACAGUCGGGGGCAUCAGUAUUCAGUUGUCAGAGGUGAAAUUCUUGGAUCUACUGAAGACUAACUACUGCGAAAGCAUUUGCCAAGGAUGUUUUCAUUAAUCAGGAACGAAAGUUAGGGGAUCGAAGACGAUCAGAUACCGUCGUAGUCUUAACCAUAAACUAUGCCGACUAGGGAUCGGACGGUGUUAUUUCUUGACCCGUUCGGCACCUU